AUUUGGGUCAGUGGUUGCAGUGUGUGCCUUAGUGGCUCUUGGGAGUGACUGAUUGCCGGUUCCCGGUCCUCGGUGGGGGUUGAGGUGGAGACGGGCGCCCUGCUCCUGGCGGGCCUGGAGGAAGCCUGGAGCCCCAGGACAGCGCUCCUGCCUCCUGCCGGAUGAGACCUGGCCCUGGGGCCGGGGCCGUCGAGAAGGACGCUGGGCCCCCCGUGCGCUCGCCCUGCUGUGCCAGCUGUGAGGACGGUGUCUCACUCCACACCCGGCUGUGCCUGUGCUCCCGCAUCGCAGAAGCUACUGAUCCCGCCUCCUCAGAGCCGGCUGCAGUGGGCUGGGGGCGGCUUCCUGCCUGUUCAAGGUGGGGAAGGGGCCUGCCCUCCACAGUCCACAUCCCCCCUCGGGAGACUCGGGUGUCCCCGCUCCCGAGCCUUUCGGGGGUCCUUGGGGAGCAGCCAAGUGUUGUUGCUUUGUCCAUCCUGACGGCACCCAGGUUUCAUCACUGCUGUAUUCUGUCAGUGGCCACUGUGAAUUUGCUUUCCAUCCUCCAAAAAUGCACUGCCGCCUUGAGUCUGCCAUCAACGCCUUUCCUGUUCCACUGGGGAGCACCACCUCUGUUCUAUAGGGAUGACUUCAGUGCUGGGGAGCAGGGAGAGAGGAUGUUCUCAUCUCCUGAGCCACUCGGACCUGCCUUCUCUGCCGCCGUCCAGCUGCUCCUGUGCUUUAUACGUUUACCUCCCCAGCCCUUCCUCUUUUUCAACUGUCCACAAAGACUGAGCACCAAAGAACUGAUGCUUUUGAACUGUGGUGUUGGAGAAGACUCUUGAGAGUCCCUUGGACUGCAAGGAGAUCCAACCAGUCCAUCCUAAAGGAGAUUGGUCCUGGGUGUUCAUCAGAAGGACUGAUGUUGAAGCUGAAACUCCAAUACUUUGGCCACCUGAUGUGAAGGGCUGACUCAUCUGAAAAGACUCUGAUGCUGGGAAAGACUGAGGGCAGGAGGAGAAGGGGACAACAGAGGAUGAGAUGGUUGGACGGCAUCACGGACUCAAUGGAUGUGAGUUUGAGCAAGCUCCGGGAGAUGGUGAGGACAGAGAGCCCUGGCGUGCUGCCGUCCGUGGGGUUGCAGAGUCGGACACGACUGAGCGACUGAACAGCAACAAAGAUGCCGCCUCUGAAGGGCCGUCAUGAGUUGUUACAAAAACGCCUCCUUUCUCGGUGAAAACAAGGACGAGUUGGUAGAGUUAUUUCUCGAGGCAUGAGUGUAUGUGUGAUUCUGUAAGUGUGUGUGUGUGUGUGUGGGUGCAAGGAGUGGGUGGGAGGCAGAUGAGAGCGGAG
ensembl:lncRNA